rnacentral:tRNA from 4 species
AACAUAAAAAAUUCUAUGUUACGGCCAUAGAGAUGAUAACGAGUUUAUCUUAUGUUU